GUCUAUGGCCAUGCUACCCUGAACAAGCCCAAUCCCAUUUGAUCUUGGAAGCUAAGCAGAGGCCUGGUUAGUACUUGGAUGGGAGACCAUCAAGGGAGAUCAGAUGCUGUUGGCA
rnacentral:rRNA from 1 species